AGCAGCCGCGGUAAUUCCAGCUCCAAUAGCGUAUAUUAAAGUUGUUGCAGUUAAAAAGCUCGUAGUUGAAUUUCGGGGUCAGUAGGUUGGUCUGCCACUGGUAUGCACUGGUCUCACUGAUUCCUCCUUCCUGAUGAACCGUAAUGCCAUUAAUUUGGUGUUGCGGGAAUCUGGACUGUUACUUUAGAAAAAUUAGAGUGUUUAAAGCAGGCUAACGCUUGAAUACAUUAGCAUGGAAUAAUGAAAUAGGACGAUCGAUCCUAUUUUGUUGGUUUCUAGGAUUGACGUAAUGAUUAAUAGGGAUAGUUGGGGGCAUUAGUAUUCAAUUGUCAGAGGUGAAAUUCUUGGAUUUAUUGAAGACUAACUACUGCGAAAGCAUUUGCCAAGGAUGUUUUCAUUAAUCAAGAACGAAGGUUAGGGGAUCGAAGACGAUCAGAUACCGUCGUAGUCUUAACCAUAAACUAUGCCGACUAGGGAUCGGAUGAUGUUAAUUUUUAAUGACUCAUUCGUCCG
rnacentral:rRNA from 1 species